CAGACACUCACUCGUGACUCGGCGGCCAUUCUGAAAACGGAAUCAUUGUCAAGCCCAGCCGAUUACUGGAGGAAGUCACCCCUGAUGGCAGCGGAAGCUAAACUAGGGGCUGACUGACAAGUGUCAGCGUUCAGCUCACAGCUUAACACAAGCUGCCGGCUGUGAAACAAGGAGAGAUGUGCUGAUGAUAAAACUUUCAGAGCUGGUCUCAAGGAAAACAGGCGGAGCAAGGAACAGAGCCUCCAAAAGGUGUUUCCUCAACCUCAACCCGGUGAUGGGAGGAAGAAGGGAAACUCGAGCCAAAGGCUCAACAGGGUCAUCACAGCUGCCCCCUGGAAAUGCGCGAGGGCCCUGCGCGGGUCUGAGCACCACUCUGAGUUGGGGGAGAGGCAGAGGGCUGUUCUCACAGCUGACACGCCCCUGCUGUUGUCAUAGCAGCGACACACGUGUCACAGAAAACCAGGCAGCUACUUUGCAAGUUGUAAACAGAACAGAAACUGCAAAAGCAUAAAUGUGAUAACCUUCCUACAGGAAAGUCUCAUCGUGUGGGGGGUCAGAAUGACAGCAAUAGAAAGGCCUCACUUGGAUCAUCUCCUGCGCAGCAAGAACACAUUGGCAAUACUCACUGCCACCGUAUAAAAGGGAAACAUGCUUUGAGGAGCGAUGUUCCUGCCUUGAAGAGAUUUUUGCAUGCUGAAAUGGUGCAAGCUCCGCAAAGGCCAUUCAGACCCAAACAGGGCUCACAUGUAGGGGUUCUGCAGUGGGUGAAGGCUGCCAACAGGUCACCAGGAAAAGGCUGGACUGCCCCAGGAGUGAUGGAUAGAGCGAGAUACCUGAUCCUGCAGACUGGAGCUCCAAAAUAUCUGACAGUGAGAUGCUGAAUCUUUUUUUGAUUGUUUUUGUUUUUUGUAAAACUGAUCUUGAGGGCACAUGCUGAGACAGUUGAAGCUCUUCAUGCAGGUGAUAGGUCCUAUACACAUGAAAAUAUCUUUUGUGGCUCACCGUAGCCCUGUAUGUGGAGAGCAGCCCACAGAAUUCAGAGCACAUGGACACAAGAAGAUACCUGGGCCCAGAGUGGACAAAUGACCUCACCCUCAGCAUCUUCUAAAGACUCCCUUUACCAGUAGAAACAAUUAUUCCUCCUAAAGCUAUGGGUCCUUUACAGUGGUUAUUAACAUUUGAUGGGAAUUCAACCCUAACCAAGAUUCUGGGGACAGAUCAUCAAAACUGAAGUGGCUGCUAGAAGCCAAGUUUGUGCUAGUUUCUUGUAUUUCCUCCAGCCCCUAAAACUUUAAAGGAACAGUCCCCGCCAUGGAAAAAUCCUUUUCCCAGCAUGAAAGGGUUGGGCAGCAGAGAUGUUUCAGUCACCGAAAGGAAGAAUAAGCCUGCUUCUUAAUAGGUCCAUAAUUACUCCACACAUUCGACUCUUAGGUCCAGAAAUAUAUUUGUGUUGACAAUCUGCAUCUGAUCCUCCAAAAACAAUGUCAUGGUUUUAUUUGCCUCCCCACCCCAGAAACAUCACCACUUUCCAAUAUCCACCCAAGCGCUACAGUUUCACUACAGCUUCCUGAGACCCUGCCUGGGGCGACAAGGGAGGGGAAUCAGAAUGCCUCCAGGUGAGAAAAGUGGGGCUUGUGCGAGAGCUGUACUCCUUUGAAGGGACAAGACAAUCAGAUGGCCAAUCAAAUCCUGGUCUGACUCCCUCCCAGUUCCCACGACAGCUUCCAGCCCUGGGCUGCAUGGAUUUGAGAUCAUUCUACCACCCCACAUCUACAGCAGUGCAUCACUGCAUCCCUCCUCAAGCACUAGUACGGGCCCACAUUGGCAAGCUUUGGGUUCACAGCAUCAGUGCACAUAGGUGAUGUGUUAGGUAGGACCCCACCCCAGCUUGCCUCAUCAGCUCCUAGGAGAUAAAAUCCCAGUGAGAAGAAGGAUCAUUAGGGGGAAGAAAACAAAAGGCAAUGCCAGACACAAGAAUAAGGUGUCAUUAGUAUCAACUUUUACAUUGGGUGCUCCUAGGCUUGAUUUAUGACUGCCACCAAUAGGUGAGUCAAGGGUCUCGCACAGCCCCUGUUCUUUCCCCCUUACAAAGGAAGAGAAGGUGAGAGAGGAAAAGGGGUCCUUGGAAUGACCUUGGCCCAGGUCUGAGCUACAAACCUUCAGUCUAAGCUCCAAUUUCCCUACAAGACCUUAGACCCAGCAACCUUGCAUAAAAGUCACUGUGGAAUAAAGCGAUGUUUUCUAAAUAUU